UGUUCUAGUUUUUUGAAAGUUUAAAUAUGACUUUUUUUAGUUUUGGUUAUUUGUUUGUUUUGAUUUAUUUGGUGGAUGUAUAUAUGUUUUGUGUUUGACUCUUUGGCUUUAAUAUCAAUGCCAUUGGUGUUGAAUCCAGCACCCAAAAUCAAAUUAGCCCCUUUGUGAUUAUUUAGAUGGAUUGUUUAUCUAGUUUGUCUACAAGUCAUGAAGUGGUACACUCAAUUUUUGCUCAUAUUAGAUGUUGGCGUUAAACUUUAUGGCCAGUAGUUUGAAAGAAUUCUUGCCACAUAGAUGUAUUCGUUUUUUCUCCUCUAUGUGACUCAUUCUCAAUCUACUUUUUAGAUAAGAGUUAAAAGUUAUUUUAUUCUGUGUGAUUCGGCCAUUUUAUGAGUUUAUUGCAAAGGUUUUUUUUUCUCUAUGAGUCCAAAAAGAUUUUACAUAGUCUAGUCUGGGUUAAUUUUAUCUUUUUUUGGUUAACAUGAGAGACAAUUCGGUCAUUUUAUAUCUCCUUUUAACUAGGACAAUUCGGUCAUCUAAAAACUUACGGAUUGUCCUUUUCGUUAAGAGAAAAAUGGAUGAAAAAUGCAUGAAGUGACUAAAAUGGCAACAGUAAAACAUUUUUGGACCUAUGAGCGAAAAAUGAAACAUUUGGACUAAAUUGGCUAAAUGGCCCAAAUCACAGGUACUGAAAUGGCAUUUAACUCUUUUAGAUAUCACUUAACGCAGUUAACGUUGUUUCACUUUUCCUCAGUUCUGUUAUAAAUUAACUAAUUCAUAUGGUUAUAUGAUUAAUAUUUGAAGAAGUGAAUACAAACAAUCUAUCACAGGACG
rnacentral:lncRNA from 1 species